UCUUCAAGCUCGAAUCUCCAACCUCGAAUCCUCUUCUCACGUUUCCGAUCAAAAUCAGGUUGAAGGCUAGAUAUUCAGCUCCAGUGACAUGCUUUCUACAAGGUUCUAAAAGCUUUAUGCUUGCUUCAAAAUGUUUGUAGAGGAAAUGUCCAUAAUAAAACAGAUUGCUGAGGCAUCCUUAAAAUUCUUACCUGCUUUUUUGUCUCCCUGGGAUUUUCGCCCAUACUGAGGAAAAAUGGAAAUGGGUUAAGCCAAAUUUACUAUCCAAUGUUACCAAACAUUAACAUUUUUUUGGUUAUAUAGUGCAUUAUAUGCAAUAUUAUGAACUUACAGUUUUAUCUGCUGUUUCAUGUUUAGUGACUUUGAGUUUGAUCACAAGCAAUUUCAUAUUUGCAUCA